rnacentral:rRNA from 1 species
AUUGAACGCUGGCGGCAUGCUUUACACAUGCAAGUCGAACGGUAACAGGCCGCAAGGUGCUGACGAGUGGCGAACGGGUGAGUAAUGCAUCGGAACGUGCCCAGUCGUGGGGGAUAACUACUCGAAAGAGUAGCUAAUACCGCAUACGAUCUAUGGAUGAAAGCGGGGGACCGUAAGGCCUCGCGCGAUUGGAGCGGCCGAUGUCAGAUUAGGUAGUUGGUGGGGUAAAGGCUCACCCAGCCAACGAUCUGUAGCUGGUCUGAGAGGAAGAGCAGCCACACUGGGACUGGAACACGGCCCAGACUCCUACGGGAGGCAGCAGUGGGGAAUUUUGGACAAUGGGCGCAAGCCUGAUCCAGCAAUGCCGCGUGCAGGAAGAAGGCCUUCGGGUUGUAAACUGCUUUUGUACGGAACGAAACGGCUCUGGUUAAUACCCGGGGUUAAUGACGGUACCGGAAGAAUAAGCACCGGCUAACUACGUG